AAAUUAUUUUAUUUAAAAUUAUUUAAAAUAUUAAUAGUUAUAAAAUUAAAGUUUUAUUUUAUUUUUAAAAAAUUAAAUUAUUUAUAGUAAAUAGUAUUGUAAAAGAAAAUUGAAAUAUUUUGAAAAAUUAAUUAUUUUAAAAAUAAAUUUAAUUUAUUGUAUUUUGUGUAUCAAAGAAUAUUUAAUUAUAUAAUUAUAUAAAAGUAUUUUCGAAAUUUAAAGAGAUAAUUAAUUAAGUUAAUUAAUGUAAAAUAAUUAUUAAUAAUAGUUAAUUAGAAAUAAAACGUUAUUCGAUUUAAAUUAUAUCUAAUUUUUUUAAAAAUAAAUUUAAUUUAAUUAAUAAUUUGAUUAAUAUAUUUUUAUAAAUAUUUAAUUAAAUUAUUAAUAAUUUUUUUAGGGAUAAGCUUAAAAAAAUAAAUUUAUAUUUAUAAUUUUAUGAAAAUAAAAAUUUAUAAAAAUAAGAUUUUUUAUUAAUUUUAUUUUUUUAUAAAAAAUUUUUUUUUUUUAUUAUUUAAUUUAAAUUAAUUUAAAUUUAAAAAAAUAUUAUUUUUAAUAUAAAAAAUUAAGUAAUAAUGAUAUUAUUAGUAUAAAUAUAUUUAUAAAUAAUUUAUUUAAUUAUUAUAGAUAAAUUUAAUGAAUUCGACAAAAAUAUAUUCGCUUGUUUAACAAAAACAUGUCUUUUUGUUUAAUAAUUUAAAGUCUUACCUGCCCACUGAAAUUAAUUUAAAGGGCCGCAGUAUUUAAUUGUGCAAAGGUAGCAUAAUAAAUAGUUUUUUAAUUGGGAACUAGAAUGAAUGGUUGGACGAAAUAUAUAUUUUAUUAAAUUUAAUUUUAUUGAAUUUAUUUUUUUAAUAAAAAAAUUAAAGUAUUUUAAAAAGACGAGAAGACCCUAUAGAUCUUGUAUAUAAAAAUUUUUAUGAUUAAUUAAUAAUUUUUUGUAUUUAAUUGGGGUGAUUUAAAAAUUAAUAUAACUUUUUAUUUUAUUUAACAUAAAUUAAUGAAUAAGAAAUGAAUUUUUUAAGUAUCUAUUUUAAAAUUAUAAAUAAAAAUUAAGAUACCUUAGGGAUAACAGCGUAAUUUUAAUUUUAAGUUCUUAUUGAAAUUAAAGUUUGCGACCUCGAUGUUGGAUUAAAAUUAAAGUUAAAUGUAUAAGUUUAAUUUUUAAGUCUGUUCGACUUUUAAAAUUUUACAUGAUCUGAGUUCAAACCGGUGUGAGCCAGGUUGGUUUCUAUCUUUUAAUAUAUAAGAUUAGUUUAGUACGAAAGGAAUAAUUAAUUAAAAUAAUAUUUUAAAUAAUUAGAAUAUUAAUAAAAUAAAUUAUAGAUCUAUUUUGACAGAUAAAU
rnacentral:rRNA from 1 species